rfam:Gossypium arboreum cultivar AKA8401 contig_9904_1, whole genome shotgun sequence.
UUGUUUGCAGGUGUAGCAUCAUCAAGAUUCACAUGCAAAUUAUAUUGCUAAAAGUUCUUUGAAACUGAGAAUCUUGAUGAUGCUGCAUCGGCAAUAAA